rnacentral:rRNA from 1 species
ACGCGUUGGGAGCUCUCCCAUAUGGUCGACCUGCAGGCGGCCGCGAAUUCACUAGUGAUUCGUAUUACCGCGGCUGCUGGCACGGAGUUAGCCGGAGCUUAUUCUCCCGGUACUGUCAUUAUCAUCCCGGGUAAAAGAGCUUUACAACCCUAAGGCCUUCAUCACUCACGCGGCAUUGCUGGAUCAGGCUUUCGCCCAUUGUCCAAUAUUCCCCACUGCUGCCUCCCGUAGGAGUCUGGGCCGUGUCUCAGUCCCAGUGUGGCUGAUCAUUCUCUCAAACCAGCUACAGAUCAUUGGCUUGGUAGGCCAUUACCCUACCAACUACCUAAUCUGGCGCGGGCUCAUCCAUCAGCGAUAAAUCUUUCCUCCAAAGAGAAUAUACGGUAUUAGCAAUUAUUUCUAAAUGUUAUUCCGUACUGAUGGGCAGAUUCCCACGUGUUACUCACCCGUCUGCCACUAAUUUAUUUAAAGCAAGCUCUAAAUAAAUCCGUUCGACUUGCAUGUGUUAAGCAUACCGAAAGCGUUCGUUCUGAGCCAUGAUCAAACUCUAAUCGAAUUCCCGCGGCCGCCAUGGCGGCCGGGAGCAUGCGACGUCGUGCCC